GCUCUGAGCGAUGGACAAAACCUUCGGCCAAAUCCAGAACUACGACUGAGAAACCGCCAAUAUUGCUCUCACAAGGCCUGAUUUCCUCACUGACGCUGUAUCUAACAGAUGUUCCUGCACAUCGAUCAGCUGCUCUGCCGACCUGUUGAACGGUGGGACAGCGCCUCUUUGUUGCGCCGGGAGGGAAAUGGGAUGUGACGUACCUGAACUAUCCGACGGUGCCAAACGUGACGCAAAGUGAGUUUCAGGCCAAUGUGGGUCAUGGAAAGAGCAAAUGUGCAGCAAGUGUGCAUCAGUGUUUGUGUGUGUGAGCGUGUGUGAGUGUGUGAGGGCCAUCUGUCCUGACAAGAUUACUGGAGUCAGACAAGAAGUCCAACUAGACCAGAUUAGAGUAGGAAUAUAGGGCAGAAGAAAGAGAGCGAACGGGGAAAGCAGAAAGUGGGGAGGAAAGAGCAGUGAGUGCAGUUGAGAUGAUGGGACAUUUUGCCUUUUGUGUGAGACAACAGAUCGCAGUGAUAAUUUCAUCGUUCAUUUGAAGUAACCGGACCUCAGCUUCACGUUAACGUUCGACUGCAGCCGCUUCGGACGUUUGUUCCCUCGUAAAUGCGGUUAUUAUGCAGGUGGGAUCGCGCGUUGACGGCACCCAGGAGAGAAGCGCUUUGACGGAAAGCUCGAUGCGUCGUCGCCAUGGCAACUGGGUCCCACUUGCUCCUGCCUUCAUCCCGUCUACGCCGCGUUGAGUGGCAGCCGGUUUGAUGCGAGUCGCUGCGAGAGAGAGCCUCCCACCUUCCUGGGAAGCCCUGGAAUUAUCUGCCUGUUUCAAUCGAGUCCAGCCAGAUUCGUCCUCUUCUGUGAGGGAUCCUGUCACGGCCCGACCGUUCCCGGUGUCGGGACCCUCGUCCUCUCCUGCAUCUUCAGCGCCCACAAAUCGGAUCCACCUGGGAAUUCUGGGCCCGUGAGGAGGACGUCGGCUACAUGUUGUCUUUUGUAUGGCGAGAUUCCCACCAGAGGGAAAGCCACCUAUGUCAACACACACACACACAGUCACAGGCAUCUGCACCUGAGGAGAGUCAAUAAAUAGAGAGGAAGGGGUUAAAAUGUCACGAGUUCAAACAGUUUGUAAAUGAAAGACACAUGAUACGGUUCAGCACCUACCCACCUCAUCAGGAAAGUAUAAUUAAAGGUUGACUACAGGCCAAAUUAAUAGUUUUAUCAGCGUAUGACACCACACAGGACUCAAACGGGCAUGAUUCACUUCUAGCAUGCAGUGAUUUGCCAAAGCACAGAUUUUCCUUCCACUCAGAAGAAAAUGACUAACGGUGCUCCACUCCAGCGAGGCUGCAGAAAGUAGGACUCUGAUUAUUCCCUCUGCCUCCCGAAUCCUCUCCCUCUCUGUGACCGCUCCCCUCAAAGGCUCCGUCUGGGUCUCUGGCGCCCAUCGCGGACCCACGGGGGUCUAUGUGUUCGCGCUAGAUCCGCCUCUCCCUGCUUGACCUCCCUCGUCCACGCCCGCCUUCCCGAGCCUUAAUCCCGAUCAAGCGUGUCUAGACCUCUCAUUACCAGCACAUAAUCAGAGAAGCGGGGAAAAGGCGAUGGGGCCGUGGGGAUCGUAGGCACGAGGCGGUGGGAGGAGAGGAGAGGAUGCGGAGAAAGUGACCCUGACAGUGACCUGCGCAUUCAUUCUGCUGACAGACUGUACAGACGGUCAAUACGCAGCACGGAUGAGGGCUGGAGGGGAGGCAGGGGAGGUGGUGGAGACCAGAUGUAAACAGGGGAUUAAUGGGUCAGAGUAUCCUCAACAACAUGUAUGUUGAAAGUCUCCAAAAUGGAGCCAAGGUCGAGGUUCAAAUGUGAAGUCAGUGAUGAAAUGAUCAAAUAGGAUGGACACACUGAUAGAAAAUUAAAACAUGCAAAUAGCAUUGAUGUGACUGGAUUUGCCAGCAUCAGAUCCAUCCCAUUACCUCACAUCAGUCUGCUAAGCCACGGCUCCAGUCAAGCAGCUGAGUGCGACAUGCUGAGAUUACGGAGCAUGAGUAGAUGUGAUGAAGGGCUGAACGCAUCAGCUAAUGGCACGGCGAGCG
ensembl:lncRNA